CUCUCAUGAAUAAAAUAUAAGAGCCUAAUCCCGUCCGUUCAUUCAGAGCUUUCUCGCUCAAUUGAUUCGGACAGUUUACAUUCAUCGCCACGUGCCAGCCAGGCGAAGGUGAACAAAAGCGUCCGCCGAGAGACUUCGAAACAGCUGUGAAUAUCCUCAAAGCACCGUGGCUAACACGUUUAAACACUGUAAACGAAUUCACUGAAGCAGGACAUUGGUCACCAGAGCGAAAAACGUAUUUAAAUGGUCAGGAAAAUCCAUUCUGCCUGAACCUCCUCCUUCCUGAAAGCAAUCGGAGCAUCACUGCAGUGGUAACCAGCAUUAUAGCUGGAUACGUCUGAAGAGCACAAAGCUAGGCUUUAGUGGAAAUGGCCUGUGAAAAGUUGCCCAGUCCCCAAUGAAUAUAACAGGUGGACACACAGGUUCAAUGUUCUAUCUGCGUUAUGGGUGCACAGACAAUGCUCUGCUGAGCCCCCUGGUGGACAGAGGAAGGUAUUGACUGAGGUUGGUCGACGAUGUCCCGCUCCUCGCUAAUUUCUGCAAAGCGCAGACCUUCCUCAAGACUCUGCAUGGAGCUACCCUGUCCCUGGGCCUUUGUCGUGAAGCAGUGCAGCUAAUGUGCUGUGGGUGCGUCCUGGACAUCAUGUGCUGUCAUAAGUGUCUCUACAAGUCCCUGCUCAGUGUAAGAGCCACCUGGUCAGGAGACUGGGAGGCCUAAAACUGGCCCUGGCCCAAUGUGUGUUCACAUCUGUAAUCAACCUCAUUACAUUGUUGAAUAACUACAUUUCCCAUAAUGCAUCUGAAGAUUAAUCCUUAACUAUUUCAUAAUAAAAAAUGUGUUAUUUAGCUGACACUUUUAUCUAAAGUGACUUACAGUUGAUUAGACUAAGCUGGGGCCAGCCCCCUCUGGAGCAAUGAGGCUGUGUGGAUCUCAUUGUGGCUACACCGGGGCUUGAACCACCAACCUUCCGGGUUCCAGUCAUGUAUUGUAGCCACUAGGCUACCGGCUGGCCUAUGAAAGAACCCUUUUUCCUUUAUGUACAGAAAUCCAACAGUCAUUCUGAAAGGAUCAUAUUCAAUGCUCUGUACUGUGGUCAAGGAUAGGUUUACAUUUCAUACACUUGCACCAUUUCAGCUGCCCGAUUCAACAGCUUUGAGUGUCUGUUUCCCAUGUACUUCUUUCUCCCAUGUUAUUAUAUUUGAUUAUAUAUAGUCUGGGGUUGUUGUCCACAGAAACCGUGUCAUAUGCGGAUAGUUAUGAAUGUGUUUACAUGAAGUAAAAGGUGUC